rnacentral:rRNA from 1 species
UACAGAGGUCCCAAGCGUUGUUCGGAUUCACUGGGCGUAAAGGGUGCGUAGGCGGUCGGGUAAGUCUGAUGUGAAAUCUCAGAGCUCAACUCUGAAACUGCAUUGGAUACUAUUCGGCUUGAGGUCUGGAGGGGGGUGGAAUUGCUGGUGUAGCGGUGAAAUGCGUAGAGAUCAGCAGGAACACCCGUGGCGAAGGCGGCCCCCUGGGCCGUACCUGACGCUGAGGCGCGAAGGCUAGGGGAGCGAACGGG